rnacentral:misc_RNA from 1 species
CCCAAAGGGUGCAUGGCAACCAUCAUUGAAUAUUUCAACCGUGCUAACAAGUAUAGGACUGUUAUUGAGUGAACCCAAUCCUGAUGACGGUCUAAUGCCUGAAGCGAGCAAGGAGUUCAAAUACAAUAGAAAGGCUUUUGACCAAAAAGCACGAGCUAUGACUGAAAAAUAUGCCGGGACUGGAGCUAGCGGGCACAAUUGCAGGACCUGGUGCAUUCAAACUAAUGCAGAUCUAAGCACAAUGGUGGAAGUUCAACAAUCAGAG